GACGAACGCUGGCGGCGUGCCUAAUACAUGCAAGUCGAGCGCAGGAAAUCGACGGAACCCUUCGGGGGGAAGUCGAUGGAAUGAGCGGCGGACGGGUGAGUAACACGUAAAGAACCUGCCCUCAGGUCUGGGAUAACCACGAGAAAUCGGGGCUAAUACCGGAUGGGUCAUCGGACCGCAUGGUCCGAGGAUGAAAGGCGCUUCGGCGUCGCCUGGGGAUGGCUUUGCGGUGCAUUAGCUAGUUGGUGGGGUAAUGGCCCACCAAGGCGACGAUGCAUAGCCGACCUGAGAGGGUGAUCGGCCACACUGGGACUGAGACACGGCCCAGACUCCGACGGGAGGCAGCAGUAGGGAAUCUUCCACAAUGGACGAAAGUCUGAUGGAGCAACGCCGCGUGAACGAUGAAGGCCUUCGGGUCGUAAAGUUCUGUUGUAAGGGAAGAACAAGUGCCGCGGGCAAUGGCGGCACCUUGACGGUACCUUGCGAGAAAGCCACGGCUAACUACGUGCCAGCCGCCGCAGUAAGAC
rnacentral:rRNA from 1 species